UUAUUCCUCUUUUGUCGGUUU
ensembl:piRNA 21ur-9431 ncRNA